AGACACUAAUCAUUGUGGCUCUCAUAAUGAUGCGGCACCCCAAGUUGACGGUGCUCUCUGCCUUGCUGUUGCGCUUGUUUUCUGAACGGUAGUUGAAGCUACAGCUUUUGCAGCACCCGAGUGUUUGGCAAAAUUGGAUUACUUAAUUACCUGUUGUGUUCCAUGCUGGUUAAGGCUUGGGAGGAUUGUUCCGAAUUUGAUAUCGAGGAAGCACACUAGCAACCCAACAACUGGUAUGACUGAUCUAAUAGUUUGCUUGUUGUCCAUUGAUUGCUCAGGCUGGUAUGAGGUUAUAAGUGUAUGAGAUUCAGAUUGUUUAUACAUGGACAUCCUAGACAUUGGAGUAUAACAGUAUGACCAUAACAGUUCAAAAGGCACUGACAAAUGUUUUGGCAUCAAAUUACUGAAUAUUUAUUGAUGCAAGUACCUCAAAUAUGCAUUAGUUGGCCAACAUAAUCCAAAAACCAAAUGGUUCAAUAUGGCCUAUUAUGCAGAUAGAAAUUGGGAGGUUUGAUACUUGCAUGUGAAUUGGCUAGAAACUUUCAGAAUUAGUGCCUCUGUACAAAUACAAGCUGUGCAAAUUCCUGUAAUAUUGUUUUGCGGGUAAAAAAAACUAAUUUCUGUAAUGUUGUAAUUGUAGAUAAAUACCUUUCCUCAGUCCAUGUUUUGAGUUAUUUCUCCUUGAAGUCAAGAAAGCCUCUAAAUUAGAAUAGAAAUGUUGCAUAAGCAACAAACUUCUAGAUACGUCACACCCUUCAAGUAACCAAUCUGCACGUUUAAUUUUUCUGUGCUUUUCUUCUGCUUCUCAUUUUCUUACUGUCUCAAAUUUUAAGUAGUGAUUGAGUAGUAGCAGCUUUACUAGAAUUAUUUAUGGAUUAUAUAUAUGCAGAACAUCUUGCUACUAUUGCUGGGCUUGCUAAAAUAAACAAAUGCAAUAUUGUUGUUCUGAUGGAACACGCAAAGAGCACUUUUGGCAUUUAUAUUUUUUAUCUAUUCGUAUUAUUUUUUCUGGAACUUAUUAUGUCUGCGGUGACCUAUUUAAUAUAGAUUAUGAUGUAACUCUAGUUUCAUUGCAGGUAAGAUGACGAUGUCACUCUUCAUAAACUAUCGAGGCACGUGGCCAUAGCCAUGGACUUUGCGGCCGGCCUGCUUAUCCUUGCCAAGGCAAAAAUGCAUGACCCAGUUUCCAACUUUGAACGCCGACAUGGACGACGGCCUCAAGUGCUCCAGCAUCUUCUUUGUAGAAUAUGUGGAGAGGCAGUUUGCACCAUAGUUCAAGCCAGACUCUAGAUUACAUGGCUAAGGAGCUCACUUAUACUGGCAAUUGUUUACUGUCUUUAUUUAAAUUAAAAUGGUUUAUGUACUCUGUCGGGGCAGUCAUAUGCCAUAUUAAUUUCAGAUGAACAAUUUCCAAUUUAAUGUUGUGCUUGUAUGUA